ACGAACGCUGGCGGCGUGCCUAAUACAUGCAAGUAGAACGCUGAAGAGAGGAGCUUGCUCUUCUUGGAUGAGUUGCGAACGGGUGAGUAACGCGUAGGUAACCUGCCUUGUAGCGGGGGAUAACUAUUGGAAACGAUAGCUAAUACCGCAUAACAAUGGAUGACACAUGUCAUUUAUUUGAAAGGGGCAAUUGCUCCACUACAAGAUGGACCUGCGUUGUAUUAGCUAGUAGGUGAGGUAAUGGCUCACCUAGGCGACGAUACAUAGCCGACCUGAGAGGGUGAUCGGCCACACUGGGACUGAGACACGGCCCAGACUCCUACGGGAGGCAGCAGUAGGGAAUCUUCGGCAAUGGGGGCAACCCUGACCGAGCAACGCCGCGUGAGUGAAGAAGGUUUUCGGAUCGUAAAGCUCUGUUGUAAGUCAAGAACGGGUGUGAGAGUGGAAAGUUCACACUGUGACGGUAGCUUACCAGAAAGGGACGGCUAACUAC
rnacentral:rRNA from 1 species